AACGGCCGCGGUAUCCUAACCGUGCGAAGGUAGCGUAAUCACUUGUUCUUUAAAUGAGGACUAGUAUGAAUGGCACCACGAGGGUUAAGCUGUCUCCUUUUUCUAAUCAGUAAAACUAAUCUCCCCGUGAAGAAGCGGGGAUUAUAUUAUAAGACGAGAAGACCCUAUGGAGCUUAAAACAAAUUAACACCUGCUUCUAUCUAUUUUUCUUCCUGAACUCACACAUAAAAUAUAGCACUAUUGAUUAAUAGUUUUCGAUUGGGGUGAUCAUGGAGCAAAAACCAACCUCCACGACGAAAAGGAGCACUCCCCUGAGCUAAAAGCUACAACUUUAAGCACUAAAAAAUUAACGCACUUUGACCCAAAUUUUUGAGCAACGAACCAAGUUACCCUAGGGAUAACAGCGCAAUCCAUUUCAAGAGCCCCUAUCGACAAAUGGGUUUACGACCUCGAUGUUGGAUCAGGGUAUCCCAGUGGUGCAGCCGCUACUAAAGGUUCGUUUGUUCAACGAUUAAAACCCUACGUGAUCUGAGUUCAGACCGGAGAAAUCCAGGUCAGUUUCUAUCUAUAAAGGGCUUUUUCUAGUACGAAAGGACCGAAAAAGCAUGGCCAAUGACCAAUUAAGCCAUAUAAAUUACUCAUGUUCUCAACUUAAUUAGAAAUAAACCUACCACACAUCUCAAAAAAAGAGAAGUUAACGUAGCAAAACCUGGCCCUGCAA
rnacentral:rRNA from 1 species